GUCCACGCCGUAAACGAUGAAUGCUAGCCGUUGGGUAGCUUGCUAUUCAGUGGCGCAGCUAACGCAUUAAGCAUUCCGCCUGGGGAGUACGGCCGCAAGGUUGAAACUCAAAGGAAUUGACGGGGGCCCCGCACAAGCGGUGGAGCAUGUGGUUUAAUUCGACGCAACGCGCAGAACCUUACCAGGGUUUGACAUCCUGCGACCGCUCCGUAAUGGGAGUUUUCCCGCAAGGGACGCAGAGACAGGUGCUGCAUGGCUGUCGU
rnacentral:rRNA from 1 species